rnacentral:rRNA from 1 species
AGCAGCCGCGGUAAUUCCAGCUCCAAUAGCGUAUAUUAAAGUUGUUGCAGUUAAAAAGCUCGUAGUUGAAUUUCGGAAUCUGUCCAUCGGUCGUGCUUCACUGUUCGUACUGGUGUGGUGGGUUCUUACCUUCUGAAUAACCAGCAUGCCAUUCACUUGGUGCGCUGGGGAAGCAGGACUAUUACCUUGAAAAAAUUAGAGUGCUCAAAGCAGGCUAGUGCCUGAAUACAUUAGCAUGGAAUAAUAAAAUAGGACGGCAUGGUUCUAUUUUGUUGGUUUUUAAGGAGGGGGCAACCUCUCCGUGGGACCUGAGUA